GAUGAACGCUGGCGGCGUGCCUAACACAUGCAAGUCGAAUGGCAGCACUCGGGAGCUUGCAUCUGGGGCGAGUGGCGAUCGGGAGAGUAAUACAUCGGAACAUGCCCUGUAGUGGGGGUUAGCCCGGCGUAAGCCGGAAUAAUACCGCAUACGGUCAUUGGACGAAAGCGGGGGACCUUCGGGCCUCGCGCUAUGGGGCUGGCCGAAUGGUGAUUAGCUAGUAGGUGGGGUAAAGGCUGACCUAGGCGACGAUCCCUAGCUGGUCUGAGAGGACGUCCAGCCACACUGGGUCUGAGACACGGCCCAGACUCCUACGUGAGGCAGCAGUGGGGAAUAUUGGACAAUGGGCGAAAGCCUGAUCGAGCAAUGCCGCGUGUGAGAAGAAGGCCUUCGGGUUGUAAAGCACUUUUGGCCGGUAUGAAGGCGAUGGCAGUAAUACUUUCGGGUGAUGACGUUACGGGUAGAACAAGCUACGGCUAACUUCGUGCCAGCAGCCGCGGUAAUACGAAGGGUGCAAGCGUUAACCGGAAUUACUGGGCGUAAAGCGUGCGCAGGCGGUUCGGUAAGUCAGAUGUGAAAUCCCCGGGAUCAACCUGGGAACUGCAUUGGUGACUGGCAGGCUAGAGUAUGGCAGAAGGGGGUAGAAUUCCACGUGUAGGUGUGAAAUGCGUAGAGAUCUGGAGGGAUACCGUUGGCGUAGGCGGCCCCCUGGACCAAGACUGACGCUCAAGUACGAAAGCGUGGGGAGCACACAGGAUUAGAUACCCUGGUAGUCCACGCCCUAAACGAGGUCGACUGGUUGUUGGACGGGAAACUGUUCAGUAACGAAGCUAACGCGUGAAGUCGUCCGCCUGGGGAGUACGGCCGCAAGGUUAAAACUCAAAGGAAUUGACGGGGACCCGCACAAGUGGUGGAUGAUCGUGGUUUAAUUCCGAUGCAACGCGAACAAACCUUUACCUNNCCUUGACAUGUCUGGAANNCCGAAGAGAUUUGGGAGUGUCGAAAGAGAGCCAGAACACAGGUGCGUGCAUGGCUGUGUCAGCUGCNGUGCUGGUGAGAUGUUGGGUUAAGUCCCGCAACGUCGGCGGAACCCUUGUCAUUAGUUGCUACGAAAGGGCACUCUAAUGAGACUGCCGGUGACAAACCGGGAGGAAGGUGGGGAUGACGUCAAGUCAUCAUGGCCCUUAUGGGUAGGGCUACACACGUCAUACAAUGGACGGUACAGAGGGUUGCCAACCCGCGAGGGGGAGCCAAUCCCAUAAAACCGUUCGUAGUCCGGAUUGCAGUCUGCAACUCGACUGCAUGAAGUCGGAAUCGCUAGUAAUCGCGGAUCAGCUUGCCGCGGUGAAUACGUUCCCGGGUCUUGUACACACCGCCCGUCACACCAUGGGAGUGGGUUUACCAGAAGUAGUUAGCCUAACCGCAAGAGGGCCGAUUACCACGGUAGGCUUCAUGACUGGGGUGAAGUCGUAACAAGGUAGCC
rnacentral:rRNA from 1 species